UCUGUAGCCAUGACUAGCAGUGCGUACAACGUGCAAAAACUUCUGGUCUGAUGACGAACGCCGGUAGCAAACAACAUUGUCGAUGCCUACGUUGUAUUUCUGCAGAACAGGAAGUAACGCUUGUACCUGCUAAGAUCUCCUGGAGAAACGUCGAGUCAUUCGUCAAAACGUUUGCGAUGAGAUUUCUACUCACUGGUCUUCUGGGGAUUCUUAUCGCUUUGCUUAUUCCUGUCGAAGGCGUACGCAAGCGAAGAAAUACGACAGGGACAGGAAGCUCAAAUGGCAAUGUGCAUAAUAGGCAAUUGCAGUGCAAAUCAACGAACAAGACGUGCCAAUUCUUACGUCAAGGUACAACUAAGUUGACCAAGAAAUUGAGGCGCCAGUGUAUCGAAUGCGUGAAAGCUUGUGCCGCUGUUGCACCUACUACAGAAGCCGAUUACUACCAGAGGAUCUGCGUUGGCCAAUACUGAACGCGGAUCUGAGAACCAUGCCGCUAGAAGAGCUAUUGGUCGCGUGUUUAUUCGAAGCUAUUUCUGAAUCCCAAACACAUGUAAAAAUUUAGUUUACUGGACUCGACUGACGGAGGCAGAUGGAACCUCAAUGAAAACACCAAGGCACAUUUUACUAUCAUCAGAUCUUUUGAAAAUAGAAGUACCAUAACAAUGAAUCUUAAAAAGGAAAAAGAAACGUGCAACUGUUUUGUCCGCACAUUUGCGAAUGCAUAUCACGACUCCUUUAAAUUAUCUUCGCUGACAUACGGCA